UACGGAGGGGGCUAGCGUUGUUCGGAAUUACUGGGCGUAAAGCGCACGUAGGCGGCUUUGUAAGUUAGAGGUGAAAGCCCCAGGGCUUAACCCUGGAAUUGCCUUUAAGACUGCAUCGCUAGAAUCGUGGAGAGGUGAGUGGAAUUCCGAGUGUAGAGGUGAAAUUCGUAGAUAUUCGGAAGGAACACCAGUGGCGAAGGCGACUCACUGGACACGUAUUGACGCUGAGGUGCGAAAGCGUGGG
rnacentral:rRNA from 1 species